GUUAGUGAUGCUCUUAUUCAAGUGGUUUUGGUUUGGCUGCCUCUGACACUUUAUUCCAUGUUGCCUAAUAGUUUUAAAAGCCCCUAUUUUAUAGUCAGUGCAUCUUUCUGUGGGUCCCCAGAGAAGGGAAGACUGUGAGAUCAUAAUGCCUGGUUAUGGCAAAAAGACCGCAAUUCCCACCAGAGAGCAAAAAGGAAGUAAAGCUACCAUUGUUGAUCUGAAACUAAAUGGAUUCUUGUCCGUUGUGAGGAGCAGCAGCCUACAAAGCACACUGAAUGCCAAAUGUGUUGCACCAGGGCUACAGGGAGUCGACUGCUCACAGAAAGCAAGCAUUCUGUUCUAAUUCUGUGCUGUAAGCUUUGCAAUAAGAGGCUCCAUAUGAGAAGGCUGGUGGUUGCCCAGCUGGGCUUAUGACAGACACACCCAGAUGUUUUUAAUCUAUGCAAAAUAAUGAUGGAUACUUGCUACCUUCUUCAACUAAUUUUCAAGAUGUAUUUAUAUAAAAUAAAAGAGUCUUUUAAAGCACAACUUUUUUCAAAUGUAUUUGUUACUGCACCUUUUGCCCUGGAAAAUUAUUUUUCUAUUUUUAUUUUUAUUUUUUGAGACAGGGUCUCACUCUGUCACCCAGGUUGGAGUGCAGUGGUGUGAUCACAGAUCACUGCAGCCUCGACCCCCACAGGCUCAAGUGAUCCUCCCACCUCAGGCCCCUGAGUAGCUGGGACUACAGGCAUGCACCACUAUACCAGCUGAUUUUUAAAACUUUUUGUAGAGACAGAAUCUCACUACAUUGCCCAAGCUAGUCUCAAACUUCUGGUCUCGAGCCACCCUCCCACCUCAGCCUCCCAAUGUGCUGGGAUUACAGGCAUACGCCACCACACCCAGCCUUAUUAUUUUGCUCUUUAGAGAUAAGAUAUCCAAACUUCAAAAAUAUUGUUAAUUUGGUACAAGUUAAAUCUCAGAAAUUUUGGAAACAAUCGCCUUCUGUAAUAUAUGUAAAAUAUUAUACACAGUGUCUGGCAUACAGUUAGUGCUAAAUAAAAGUUUUUC
rnacentral:lncRNA from 1 species